CCCAGUAGUAGUCAGCUGUACAGGCCAGCCCCAUGCCUGAGUUAGUGUUACACUGCUGGGAGAGAAAGGCUCAGCUAAUGUAGCUUGGUCCAGCAGACACUGUUUUAGUGGCUGUUGGUGCUGAGCUGUAGCGGAGCUGUGCCCCUCUGACUGAGUGGGCUGUACCCACACUGGGGCAACCCUAGUAGAAGGGCUAACAAA
ensembl:snoRNA SNORA74 Small nucleolar RNA SNORA74